UUGUUUGGAUACUUACAACUCCACGUAACUCCAAGUAAACGAGUUGUUGCAGGGUGAUGACAGGAAAUAGGAUUAAAGGAAAAGGAAAAAAUUCAAACAUAUGAAUCUACAACAUCGUCUCAAUCAAAAGAAAUAUCAAGUUUAGAUUCAUUGGCUCAUGUUUUAGGAAGCCAAGAGCAUUGUGGACGUGUUCGCGGUCUAGGUUUGGGUCCUUGCCCAUCUAAAGUCUUUGGAGUCCAUGCUUGUUCUCAUGUUGGAUCAUCUUCAUCUACUCCUUCUAAUGUUGAAUUACAAUCUCAGGUAUCUUCAUUGACUUCUUCUAAUGUUAAAUUAGAAUCUCAGGUAUCUUCAUUGACAUACAAGUCAAUGAAAUGAAGGCAAUCAUGACACUUUUGUUGCAAAAUCAUCAAGGUCCAUUGCCUUCACAAUUUGCAGUAUUUCAAAGAUCAUCGGUAUCUGAUCAAGGGAGUGGGCCAAACAAUGGAUGUAAUGAAGAAAAAGAUUAGAUAUUGUUAUUGAAUACUUUUAUGAGUCAUACUUUUAGUAUUGAACAUUUAUAUUGAACAUAUGUAAUGAACUUCUUUCUUUUUAAUUUUUAUGUAUGAACAAUUAGUUGUAUGAAUGAUAUUAGGUUGAACAAUGUAGUUUAUUUUAUACAAUAUUAUUAAAUUUUAGUUCAUAUUAA